AUCCAGCUGGCGGACGAGUCCCGAAUAGGACGAAAUGCGUAUCCUGGAU
rfam:Trichobilharzia regenti genome assembly, scaffold: TRE_scaffold0013345